UGCAGAGUAGUAGCAGUGGUAGCUCGUCAGCCUCAUAAGCUGAAGGUCGGUGGUUCGAAUCCAUCCUCUGCGUCCA
rnacentral:tRNA from 1 species